UGAAACAUAACCCAUUGGCCGACCGGCCGACAGGAAGACGGAGGAAGGAGACGUGGAGCUUCAUCCCAGCGCAGCCUGCAUGGCGAGGAGAGACCAGGGGCCACAACCACCUGACCUCCCAUUACCCAGAGGCCCUACUGGGAGAGAAGUGAGACUGAAGGAGAGACACAGCCGCCUCAGCACUGUCUCCCUGCCUGCCUGCUGGGACAGACACACGCGUCUACACUUCAGCAGCUCUUCUUUCACGCAACUUGAUGGUCUCUCCCUCCUGCUCCUCUCUCAGACCAGAGCAGAAGAUGAGUGAGUCGGUACCACCAGCGCAGCAGCGGACUACAGAGGGGCUACACUGACACGCCGUGCCCAUCAGCCCGUGGGCACUGCGGCAUGAAUGUAACAGCUGGACUCGUGCGAUAACUAAGAGCAGCACUGAGGAGGAGGAGGAGGAGGAGGAGGAAGAGGACAAUAGGCUGCGUCCAGUCCUGUCCAUCCAGCCGGUGGGUGGAUACAGCAGCCAGCCCCCCCGUCCCCUCACCACCACCACCCCCCACCACCACCCCACCACCACC
ensembl:lncRNA